rnacentral:rRNA from 1 species
AGGGUUUGAUCAUGGCUCAGAGUGAACGCUGGCGGCGUGCUUAACACAUGCAAGUCGAACGGUAACAGAGAGAAGCUUGCUUCUUUGCUGACGAGUGGCGCACGGGUGAGUAAUAUAUAGAUAAUGUACCUUUUAGUCUGGGAUAGCCAUUGGAAACGAUGAUUAAUACUGGAUACUCCUUCUCACUAUAAUGUGAGUCGGGAAAGUUUUUCGCUAAAAGAUCGGUCUAUAUCCCAUCAGUUAGUUGGUAAGGUAACGGCUUACCAAGGCAAUGACGGGUAGCGGGUUUGAGAGGAUGAUCCGCCACACUGGUACUGAGACACGGACCAGACUCCUACGGGAGGCAGCAGUGAGGAAUAUUGCACAAUGGAGGGAACUCUGAUGCAGCAACGCCGCGUGGAGGAUGACGCAUUUCGGUGUGUAAACUCCUUUUAUAAGGGAAGAAAAUGACGGUACCUUAUGAAUAAGCACCGGCUAACUCCGUGCCAGCAGCCGCGGUAAUACGGAGGGUGCAAGCGUUACUCGGAAUCACUGGGCGUAAAGGACACGUAGGCGGAUUGGAAAGUCAGAUGUGAAAUCCUACAGCUUAACUGUAGAACUGCAUUUGAAACUUCUAAUCUAGAGUAUGGGAGGGGGAGAUGGAAUUAGUGGUGUAGGGGUAAAAUCCGUAGAUAUCACUAGGAAUACCGAAAGCGAAGGCGAUCUCCUGGAACAUAACUGACGCUAAGGUGUGAAAGCGUGGGGAGCAAACGGGAUUAGAUACCCCGGUAGUCCACGCCCUAAACGAUGAACACUAGUCGUCGCUCUGCUAGUCAUGGCGGUGAUGCACUUAACAGAUUAAGUGUUCCGCCUGGGGAGUACGGUCGCA